GAGAGAGACAUGCGCGCAUAUCAAUAAGCGGAGGAAAAGAAACUAACAAGGAUUCCCCUAGUAACGGCGAGUGAAGCGGGAAGAGCUCAAAUUUGAAAUCUUAAAGGGUUUCCCUUUACGAAUUGUAGUUUAAAGAAGUGUUUUCUGUUGAGGUUUUGGUAAAAGUUCUUUGGAAUAGGAUAUCAUAGAGGGUGAGAAUCCCGUAUUUGACCUUUACUUUCAACUUUGUGAUACACUUUCAAAGAGUCGGAUUGUUUGGGAAUGCAGUCCAAAAUGGGUGGUAAAUUUCAUCUAAAGCUAAAUAUUGGCGAGAGACCGAUAGCGAACAAGUACCGUGAGGGAAAGAUGAAAAGAACUUUGAAAAGAGAGUUAAACAGUACGUGAAAUUGUCAAAAGGGAAGCGUUUGACACCAGUGUUGUUUUUCUGAAAAUCAAUUAAAGAACUGUUUAUGCUAAGUUGUUUAGACUUUAUCAGCUAACUGUUUAGUUUUGAGCUUUUCUUUAAUGCACUUUUCAGUUAACAAGUCAACAUCAAUUUCUUUUGCUGUAAAAAAGCUUGAGGAAGGUGGCUUGAGAUUCGUCUUAAGUGUUUAUAGCCUCUUGCCUAUGCAGUCGGAGAGAUUGAGGUCUGCAGCGUAGAUCCUUCGGGGCUAAAUGCAUUUGUGCUAAGUUAUAGCAUUUUAUAGACAACUUGUUGACUAUGAUUUGUCUUGUAGCUUACUCGCUUAUGUUAUUUUACCUACGCUUAGGAUGUUGAGCGCAUGUCUCUCUCU
rnacentral:rRNA from 1 species